GGGCUACUGAUGCUUAUUGCACCACAUGUGUUUUUCUUUGAAACAAACUUGCUUUGGCGGUGGGCCCAGCCUGCCGCCAGAGGUCUAAACUUACAACCAAUUUUUUAUCAACUUGUCACACCAGAUUAUUACUAAUAGUCAAAACUUUCAACAACGGAUCUCUUGGUUCUCGCAUCGAUGAAGAACGCAGCGAAAUGCGAUACGUAAUAUGAAUUGCAGAUAUUCGUGAAUCAUCGAAUCUUUGAACGCACAUUGCGCCCUCUGGUAUUCCGGAGGGCAUGCCUGUUUGAGCGUCGUUUCUCCCUCAAACCGCUGGGUUUGGUGUUGAGCAAUACGACUUGGGUUUGCUUGAAAGACGGUAGUGGUAAGGCGGGAUCGCUUUGACAAUGGCUUAGGUCUAACCAAAAACAUUGCUUGCGGCGGUAACGUCUACCACGUAUAUCUUCAAACUUUGACCUCAAAUCAGGUAGGACUACCCGCUGAACUUAAGCAUAUCAAAAGCCGGAGGAA
rnacentral:rRNA from 1 species